rnacentral:rRNA from 1 species
GACGAACGCUGGCGGCGUGCCUAAUACAUGCAAGUAGAACGCUGAAGGAGGAGCUUGCUUCUCUGGAUGAGUUGCGAACGGGUGAGUAACGCGUAGGUAACCUGCCUGGUAGCGGGGGAUAACUAUUGGAAACGAUAGCUAAUACCGCAUAAGAGUAGAUGUUGCAUGACAUUUACUUAAAAGGUGCAAUUGCAUCACUACCAGAUGGACCUGCGUUGUAUUAGCUAGUUGGUGAGGUAACGGCUCACCAAGGCAACGAUACAUAGCCGACCUGAGAGGGGGAUCGGCCACACUGGGACUGAGACACGGCCCAGACUCCUACGGGAGGCAGCAGUAGGGAAUCUUCGGCAAUGGACGGAAGUCUGACCGAGCAACGCCGCGUGAGUGAAGAAGGUUUUCGGAUCGUAAAGCUCUGUUGUAAGAGAAGAACGAGUGUGAGAGUGGAAAGUUCACACUGUGACGGUAUCUUACCAGAAAGGGACGGCUAACUACGUG